rnacentral:lncRNA from 1 species
UGUCUGAGAUCUCUCUCAUUUCUGAACAUUUCAGUCCAGAAAGAGCUCUGACAGAGGAUGAAAAAGAGGGAAAACCAAGUGAUGGAAGAGCAAAACUGGAGGAGAACAAAAUGUUUGAGACAGGUGGAAAUGAGUACAUGUCUCCCAAGGCAGAUGGCAGAGGUGGGCUGAAGGUUCUGCAAGGGAAGCAGGAUGUGACCAGUCCCCAAAAUGCAACAUAUCCAACCCCACCAGGGCUGGCAAGAGACAGAGCAGAGCACUGGCACAGCAUGGGUAUUGGUGCUCCAAAGCCAGGAGGAUCAGCCUUGGCCCAAAGCCCUGGGCAGUGUCUGCAGGCCCCAGAGGACAUCUAUGAUGAUGUUGAGGAGCUGCAGGACAGACUCCACGGCUCAGAUGCCUCCAGUUCCUUCACUUCAGACAGCAUUUCAGGAAACAGCUACGAGGAAACAUAUGAAGAUGUUGAGAUUGGGGGUGAUAACCCAGCAAAACCAGGAACAGAAAAACAGAAGAGAUUUGGAAACCUGUUUAAGAUAGAAAAGUUGAAGCUGAACAAUUUCAGGCUCAAGGACAACCUAAGGCUGGUUUCCAUUUCAGUACCAAAUUUAGCUGUGUCCCAGGAGGACAACGUGUAUGAUGAUGUCGAGGUGGAGCAGAGAGAGACCAGAGGGAAGGAUGACAAGUACAGAGUCCGGAUGCCAAAACUUCGGGUGGCGAAAGAGUACAAGGACAAGAGAAAAAGCAUCGACGACGUGGAAAGAAAUAUCUUCAAAUUCAAGAAGAGCAGUGAAGAAAAGAGCAAGAAGAUGGACAAAGAAGAGAAGUUGUUUAGAGAGACAUUUAUGGUGGGUGUCUUUCUCACUGUGCCAGGGGAGGAAAGCAGCUCUGUGGCUUGUUUAAACUACUCCU